rnacentral:lncRNA from 1 species
GUUGAUGACAUGAUAACAAAGUCUCAAGCAGAAGAAGGGCAUCCGGUAGACCGGGGCAAGUUGUUUGACCGGUUGAGACAACUCAGACUGAGGUUGAGUCUGAAUCAGUGAACUUGUGGAGUGUUGUCCGGUAAAAUGCCGAGGUUUAUUGUGAGCGAAUAAGAGGAAUCAAGGUCGAUCCUGCAAAAAAAAAAAAGCAACAACAAGAAACAAAAGAAAACAAAAAACAAAGAAAGAAAGAAAAGAAAAGAAAAGGAAAAAACAAUGCAAGAAAUGCCUGAACCGGAAACAAGGAAAAAGAGAUCAAAC